CUAAUACAUGCAAGUCGAGCGCGGGAAGCAAACUGAAUCCUUCGGGAGGACGUUUGUGGAACGAGCGGCGGACGGGUGAGUAACACGUGGGCAACCUGCCUGUAAGACUGGGAUAACUCCGGGAAACCGGGGCUAAUACCGGAUGAUACUUCGUACCGCAUGGUACGGAGUUGAAAGAUGGUUUACGCUAUCACUUACAGAUGGGCCCGCGGCGCAUUAGCUAGUUGGUGGGGUAACGGCUCACCAAGGCGACGAUGCGUAGCCGACCUGAGAGGGUGAUCGGCCACACUGGGACUGAGACACGGCCCAGACUCCUACGGGAGGCAGCAGUAGGGAAUCUUCCGCAAUGGACGCAAGUCUGACGGAGCAACGCCGCGUGAGUGAUGAAUGUCUUCGGAUUGUAAAACUCUGUUGUUAGGGAAGAACAAGUACCGUUCGAAUAGGUCGGUACCUUGACGGUACCUAACCAGAAAGCCCCGGCUAACUACGUGCCAGCAGCCGCGGUAAUACGUAGGGGGCAAGCGUUGUCCGGAAUUAUUGGGCGUAAAGGGCGCGCAGGCGGUCUUCUAAGUCUGAUGUGAAAGCCCACGGCUUAACCGUGGAAGGUCAUUGGAAACUGGGGGACUUGAGUGCAGAAGAGGAGAGUGGAAUUCCAUGUGUAGCGGUGAAAUGCGUAGAGAUAUGGAGGAACACCAGUGGCGAAGGCGA
rnacentral:rRNA from 1 species